CACCAGCGCCACGAGUGGCUAUCGCGAUUAUUGGGCCUAAAGCGUCCGUAGUCUGCCUUGUACAUCUUCUGUGAAAUCGUUGCGCUUAACGUAACGGCAUGCGGAAGACACGGCAAGGCUUGAGAGCGGGAGGCGUGUAGGGUACUCCACGGGGACCGGUAAAAUGGUAUAAUCCGUGGAAGACCACCUGUGGCGAAGGCGCUACACGAGAACGCAUCUGACGAUGAGGGACGAAAGCCAGGGGAGCAAA
rnacentral:rRNA from 1 species